rnacentral:lncRNA from 1 species
GGCUGGGUCACGUACCUAAACUUGUGACCAGGGGUCUCUAGUUUUAGAAAUGGAAACCCCUUUCACAACCACGAUGUUGGAGAGGGAAGCAGCUACCUCAAAAGAAGGGAAUGAACGGUUGAGACCAGACAAUAUAAUAAGUGGCCACUCUCUGGUAGAGAAAGACUUUGGAGGAAACCCAUCAGGCAUCCAGAACCCACAGCUCUGCCAUCAGAACUCCAUCCUGGGAACAGAAGCCGUCUAUCUGCAUCUGUAAACAUGGCCUCAUGUAGUGACGUGCAGGGAAAUGAGUGUGCCCUUGCAAUGGUAAAUCCACGGGAACCUUCUCAGUGCAGUGGUAAUACAGAGUAUAAAGUAGCCCUCCUUACUCUUAAGAGGAAAUUUUGCCUCUUCACCUUUCCAAAAGAAAUGACGGUAAUUGUUCUUUAAUUCUCAAACAACCUUAUCUUUUGGUAGCUCAAUAAUGGCAGCAUCUGGUAUAACUUGGAUGCAAGGACUGUUGGCAAGAUCACUAUAAUUUCCAAGAUUUCCAGAAAUUUUCAAUUAAGACUGUUAAAAAUAAAAAAAUACAGGAUAUGAUUUUCAAAGCUGGAAAAUAAAUGCCUGAUUAUAUGGAAUGGUCCCCUUUUGAGGAAAGAAACUGGGAAUAGUUUGGAGCACAAUUUGGCAUAAUGAAGGGAAUGUAAGGUUUAGUCCUGCAGUCACUAAUUGUAUGACUUCAGGCAAAUUACCCUUUCUAGGCCUCAGUUUCCUUAUCUGAAAAAUGGGGAUGAUAAUAAUACUGUACCUACCUCAUAGGUUGCUUUGAUGAUUAAAUGAGCCAAUACAUGUAAAGUACUUGGAAGAGCACUUGCCUCUAGUAGAGCUUGUUCUUAUUAUCAACACUACAGGAGUUACUAGGAAUACAUGAUUAAUUCUGCCUGUAGCCUUUUCAGAAGACUUAGCAUUAGAAUUUUAUUUUGAAGGGCACACCAGUGCAGGAGCAUAGGCUUUUUUCUCAAACAUCUUGAUAACACCAGAAGACAUUUGCCGAUUUCAAAUUGACAACUCAUGACAAUGUGUAAGUUCUAAGUUUCAACCCAAUACUCUUUGCCUCAAGUUGUUCUCCUUCCACUUUAGAGAAAUCAUUACUUCCUGUGUUAAGCAAAUGCCUCGAAAUCAUCUCAGAGUUCCCCCGUGAGUGAUCCUAGUUUUGAAGAGACUAUUCUCAACCCACCUGUCAAUUAUGUCAGUGUAAAGGCAUCCAGAACAUCUGUCCUGAAUUUUCCCGGACUGCACCUGGACUUCAAAAUGAUGGAAGGUGGUGAUCUAACUGUGCAGAAAACAUUGUGAAACAGGCCACAUUCUCAAACUGGUUUGAGAAACUUUUAGAAUAAAAUGUGUCUGGCUAGGUUUAUUCAGCCUUAGUUAUUACUCUUUGUGUAUACACAAGGAUUUCAAACCAUCAAUAAAUGACUGCAAGU